rnacentral:rRNA from 1 species
AUGGAGGAAACCAACAAAGCUCUGGCGGAUCUGACGGCGGCCAUCAGCGCUAUGUCAGCUCAGAUCAGCGAGAUCCACCCGGUGGUUCUCGAACUCCAAGGGUGGAGACCGGCAAUUGAGCGAUCAGUGGGCGAUCUGCGCGCCGAGGUGGGCGAAUUGCGGCAGCAACUCGAGGAGAUUCGGCCGGCCCCCGCGCUGGCGCAAGACCCAGCACCGGCACGGGAGAAGGAUCCGGUGCAGCCGGUCCGCCUCGCGGAUUUGCCUCCCCUCCUUCCAACAACCGCAGACCUGCCUUCCCUGCUUCCACAAGUUGCGGACGCGCGCCUUCCCCGACCCAGCGACCACCUUUUGGUUCGCGGUGGCGACGGCCACGGGUCUACUGGCCACGGCAGGACUUCAGAUCAUCGGGGGAUGUCACCGGGGGAACGAACCCCUAGGGCGCCUCCGGUCACGGGAAGAGGUGCUGGACGCAUUGCGGCGUGA